rnacentral:rRNA from 1 species
AUUGAACGCCGGCGGCAUGCCUUACACAUGCAAGUCGAACGGUAACGGGUCCUUCGGGAUGCCGACGAGUGGCGAACGGGUGAGUAAUAUAUCGGAACGUGCCCAGUAGUGGGGGAUAACUGCUCGAAAGAGCAGCUAAUACCGCAUACGACCUGAGGGUGAAAGGGGGGGAUCGCAAGACCUCUCGCUAUUGAAGCGGCCGAUAUCAGAUUAGCUAGUUGGUGGGGUAAAGGCCUACCAAGGCAACGAUCUGUAGUUGGUCUGCGAGGACGACCAGCCACACUUGGACUGAGACACGGCCCAGACUCCUACGGGAGGCAGCAGUGGGGAAUUUUGGACAAUGGGCGCAAGCCUGAUCCAGCAAUGCCGCGUGCAGGAAGAAGGCCUUCGGGUUGUAAACUGCUUUUGUCAGGGAAGAAAUCUUCUGGGCUAAUACCCCGGGAGGAUGACGGUACCUGAAGAAUAAGCACCGGCUAACUACGUGCCAGCCGCCGCCGUAA